rnacentral:rRNA from 1 species
UACGUAGGGGGGCAAGCGUUGUCCGGAUUUAUUGGGCGUAAAGAGCGUGUAGGCGGCCAGGUAGGUCUGCUGUGAAAACUCGAGGCUCAACCUCGAGACGUCGGCGGAAACCAUCUGGCUAGAGUCCGGAAGAGGAGAGUGGAAUUCCUGGUGUAGCGGUGAAAUGCGCAGAUAUCAGGAAGAACACCCGUGGCGAAGGCGGCUCUCUGGGGACGGUACUGACGCUGAGACACGAAAGCGUGGGGAGCGAACAGG